UACAAUUAAUGCCACAACAUAUUUUUUAUUAUUAUUUGCUAUUAAAUUAAAAUUUAUGUCACUAGUAUAUAAUUUCUCGCAGAUAAGAACAAACAUUAACUUAAUUAUCAUCAUAUUGUGCUAGCAAGGCAUAGUUGAGAUUGACCAACAUGACCAGCUCAGCAUUUUCAUUGACCAAAGCCUCCGCCCCUGGCAUAUCUCUCUCAAGUUCAGACCCGCAGUUUUCGGCAGGGAUCAUCACCCUCUCCACGCAACGAGGUAGCUCAAAGGACGGUAGCCCGCUGUUGUCUCCGUGGUAGUCCCUGAUCAUGGCAUCACAUAUGUUUAGGACUCUCACCAUGCCAUCAUAGUCCAACUUGCAAAAACUGAGGGCGCGCAUCGUCACUGUGCCCUUCUUGGCAUUUUGUAGCAUUUUCUCAACCUUUCCGCGAGCAGGAGCGAUGCGGCCUUUAAGGAUGUCGAUGGCGACGAGUACCAGGCUAUUGAGGUCCUUAGCCUCGAAGCUCCGAUUGUUUGACCGGAGGAUCGACAAGCAGAAUUCCUGCGCGACAUUAUCUGGGUUGAGGCUGUAGCUCGAGGCGUUCUUGCAUGCUUCCACCAUGAGGUUGGGUUCGGCUCACCUGCUGGGUUCCCAGCAGGAAUUAUUGUGCAGGGCGAAUAGGUGAGUGCCACGUGUCCUUGUGGGCCAAGAGCUCCAACUAACUUAGAUUUAAUUUGUUUCUUCUUCCUGUUUCGGUCCUUCGUCACCUGCCCUCUGUGCAAAAGAAAUACGAGGUUGCCUGCGAGCGGAGCCGCGGACGGGUUCUUCUUGCUCGCCCGCCGGUGAUGUUGUUGGGUCGUCUACUGCUAGUCGAUUUGGAUUUGGCACUGGAAUUCUGAAAUUAAUCAAGGCCAAACACUGUAACGAGGAGAUCAGAAACCGACAUUUUUUAGUCUUAUGGAGCAUCGUUGUGUUACUCUCCGUUUCGGUGAGAUCCAGCCUAAACGAUGAAUCGCUAUCAUAGCAAGGAAGCGUAAUGAACUAAUGAUUGGAACUUGGAGUCGAUAAAUGAAUACAAAUGGAUCGAUUUCUGAGUUUUACUUUCACAAGCAGUGACAGCAGAAGCACAGCCAUGGCGGUCUGUACGACGAUCUUCCAGUGCCCGUACUGCCGGCCGCUCCCGCUCUGCACAAAAAACGAAAUCAGUUCCUCGUUUACCAGAUCUUUGGCGGACGGUGCAGGCUGAAUAUGUCCUCGACGGUGGUGGGUGUGGGCUCCGGCGCGACGGGCGCAGGUGGGUUGGGCAGAUCCGGCGAGGGGACGGGUUUCUUCUUCUUGCCGUUCUACUUCUUCCGCUUAUGCUUGCUCUUCUCUUGUAUGGGGCCUUGGCCGGGGGGCAGCACGGCAGGGUGCCUCGGCCAUCGGCAGGGGCGCUGCCACGGGACACUCGGCAUCCACGACGUCCUCGAGUGGAGGUAGAAGGGCCAACGGCUGGCAACCAUUCUCACGGUGAGGAUGGACCGAAGCAGGAAGAAGAAACAAAUUAAAUUUAAGUUAGUUGGAGCUCUUGGUUCACAAGGACACGUGGCACUCACCUAUUCGCCCUGCAUAAUAAUUCCUGCUGGGAACCCAGCAGGUGAGCCGAACCCCAUGAGGUUGGUCUGCUUUGGUUUGCCACCGCCAAAGUCGUUGGCUUGAGCAGCGACGAUCAUGGAAAGAAGCAUGCAAACGAUGGUGUACAAGACGACGGUGGUUGUCGACAUCGUUGCCAUUAUGGCUAGGUUACCUAGAAGUUUCUAAUUGUAUUGAAGCCAAAAGAGGUGGAGUUAAAUGGAUAUAGAAAAAUGUGUAUGACACCGAUGGAUAGAUG
rnacentral:lncRNA from 1 species